rnacentral:lncRNA from 1 species
AUAGAGAGAAAGAGGAAUCAUGUGGAGAGGAAGAAGGUGGGGAGUUAAGGAGAGAAUUUGGUUAUAGCCAACAGGAAUAGAUCUGACAACUGAAAUUCUUAUGGGUAAAGGCAUUGUGGACAAAUACAAACUCACACACAAUGGGUUCCAAAAUAAUUUAUUUCUGCCCUGCAUUAGAAGAUGGGUGUCUGCUCAACCUAGAUGAGGCUCAACAAUAUCUCAGAGGGAAUCCAUAUGUCAUCAUUUCUGGCCAGUGACCUCUGAGUGGAAGUCUGAGAAGAAGUUUCUGGGAAGAAGAGUCCUGUUAUGUCCUCACUCUGUUGUUUCCUGUGAAGGAUACUGGUGGGCAGAAGGGAAGACUAGAUUGAGGCAUCCAUCUUGACAUCAUGAGAUAAAGACCAUCAAAAUUCCAGAAGUACCUAAACAAA